rnacentral:misc_RNA from 1 species
GAGGCGGUGAUUCCCAGGAGCCCUGCGUCCGAGCCCCGGACUCGUCCCCGAGGGCACGUCCUCCUCUUCGCCCUCGAAACUUCCCCCUCCCUGCAUGGAUGUUGCCGCAACCGGAGCGGCUGGACCUUGCUGUCGAGAUAUCGCCGUUUCGAAGACAAGAUCCGAUCCAUAUCCUGGGAAUCUACGCGACGGUUCGGCGACAUGCUCGCCUCCCCCAAUCGCGCACCGAUAAAACAAUAAUAAUCGAACCCACAAAAAAAAAUUUUUUCCGCUUUUUUUUUAAUGGUGUAGUUGAGACAAUCGCUGCUGGGUAAACGGAGGCGGCGACAAUAAUGCCGUGUGUAUGUGAACAAGGUUUACGUCGCCUAUCUACAGCUGUUCGACGUCCGUGUCCGAAUAAACCAAGAAAGAUGUCCAAAGUGCAAAGACCAUACUCCGUGUUUACACUGACUCUGACCGCAGCCGAAGCUACGAUCAUCGGGAAGCAAUCGAGCAAGGCCAAAUGUGCCGCGUGACGGCGCUCGUAGGCUUUGUGCUUUCAAUGUCACUGACUAAACCCAUAUUGCACGCUCUGUGCGCAGCGAUCCUGGGCUUGUUUCACGCUUGAUCGGUUUAGCCGGCGAUCAAAACGUUACCCUUCGUCAUAAACUACGUGUCCCACCAUUCUACAUAUCUGCUCGCAUUGAUCAUAGCCAUAAGGUUGGUAGUCUAAAUUUUAACACUUCAUUAUUUCAAUGUUCUUUUAUGCCAUGAACCUCUAUAGACUGGAACCACCUUCCCGCCUCGACAGCUAAAAUCACGAAUAUUGUUUUGUUUAAAAAUGCUAUUACUAAUAUGUUCACAUUAUACCACUCUCUCCCCUCUUCAAUGUACUUACCUGGAGAGCAUUUGAAAUAAAUAAAUAGACACACACAGACUACGAGGGCCGUGACGAGGAACUUUUGGCUCUGUUUGAUUGGCUGUGUCCGAUCGUGACGUCGGCGCCGGUCGGACAUUAACUGAAACGGAGAACACUGACGGCGCGUCGCUGAUGUACCGCACUAAAUAAUAAAAAUACAACGUGCCCCGUCUGGAAUCGCGGGCGGUGAUGUAAGCCUCCAUCGUGUAUACCCGUUUGUUUCGUUUUUGUUGUCAUUAAAAGCGUUUGUUGAAGUGGG